rnacentral:rRNA from 1 species
UACCAGCACCCCGAGUGGUCGGGACGAUUAUUGGGCCUAAAGCCUCAGUAGCCGGCCUUACAAGUCCUCCGUUAAAUCCAGCUGCUUAACAGAUGGGCUGCGGAGGAUACUAUAAGACUAGGAGGCAGGAGAGGCAAGCGGUACUCAGUGGGUAGGGGUAAAAUCCGUUGAUCCAUUGAAGACCACCAGUGGCGAAGGCGGCUUGCCAGAAUGCGCUCGACGGUGAGGGAUGAAAGCUGGGGGAGCAAACCGG